rnacentral:rRNA from 1 species
AGCCCAUAACCGGUACGGGCCGUGGGAGCGGGAGCCCGGAGAUGGGCACUGAGACAAGGGCCCAGGUCCUACGGGACGCAGCAGUUGCGAAACCUCCGCAAUGCGCGAAAGCGUGACGGGGCCAUCCCGAGUGCCGUCCGCUGAGGACGGCUUUUCUCCGGUGUAAUGCGCCGGAGGAAUAAGGAGAGGGCAAGUCUGGUGUCAGCCGCCGCGGUAAUACCAGCUCUCCGAGUGGUGGAGACGAUUAUUGGGCCUAAAGCGUCCGUAGCCGGUCUGGUGUGUAUCCCGUUAAAUCCAACGACUUAAUCGUUGGGCUGCGGGAUAUACUGCCAGACUAGGGGGCGGGAGAAGUCGACGGUAUUCCCGGGGUAGGGGUGAAAUCCUAUAAUCCCGGGAGGACCAUCAGUGGCGAAGGCGGUCGACUAGAACGCGCCCGACGGUGAGGGACGAAAGCUGGGGGAGCGAACCGGAUUAGAUACCCGGGUAGUCCCAGCCGUAAACGAUGCAGGCUAGGUGUUGGGGCGGCCACGAGCCGCUCCAGUGCCGCAAGGAAGCCGUUAAGCCUGCCGCCUGGGUAGUUACGGCCAGGCAAGGCGUGAAACUUAAAGGUAAAUUGGCGGGGGAGCACCCACAAGGGGUUGAAGCUUUGCGGUUUAAUUGGAGUCAACACCGGGAACCUUACCCGAGGGCGACAGCAGGAUGAAGGCCAGAUUGAAGGUCUUGCCGGACAAGCUGAGAGGAGGUGCAUGGCCGUCGCCAGUUCGUGCCGUGAGGUGUCCUCUUAAGUGAGGCAACGAUCGAGACCCGCGCCUCUUGUUGCCAGCGGAUCCCGUCGGGAUCCGGGCACACGAGAGGGACUGCCGCCGACAAGGCGGAGGAAGGAGCGGGCCACGGCAGGUCAGUAUGCCCCGAAUCCCCCGGGCCACACGCGAGCUGCAAUGGCAGGGACAGAGGGUUCCGACCCCGAAAGGGGGAGGGAAUCCCUAAACCCUGCCGUAGUCGGGAUCGAGGGCUGCAACCCGCCCUCGUGAACAUGGAAUCCCUAGUAAUCGCGCGUCAUCAACGCGCGGUGAAUACGUCCCUGCUCCUUGCACACACCGCCCGUCGCUCCACCCGAGUGGGGUUUGGGUGAGGCGUGGUCUUGUUGGCCGUCGUCGAACCUAA